rnacentral:misc_RNA from 1 species
CUGAGUGAGGGUUUCGGCCCGACCUCCAACCCCAUGUAUUCCGACUCUGUUGCCUCGGGGGCGACCCUGCCUUCGGGCGUUGGGGCCCCCGGUGGACACCAUAACACUGCAUCUUUGCGUCUGAGUAACACUUUGAAUUAAAUCA